CUUGGACCCAAAGGAAAAGAACUGUGUAGAUGCAUUCGGCACCCAAGUAGUUACAUGAAGACAAUGGAUUCAUGAACAGUUUUCUGCCAAUUCACAAAGAAGAGCCAACUCACAAAUGUCAGUGGAGUGCUCUGAGUAAUGUAAAAAAGAUUCUGCACUGUUCACAGACUACAGAGGUUAGAAACGCGCCCAAAUCUAAAAGCUUGAACACAAUGAUAAAGAGCACUGUGUCGGUGUUGGCCUUUUCUUGAAAGUUCCAUGGACUGUGUUAGGGGGAAAAACCUGGAUAGAAAUUUUACUGAGUACAAGGAACAGCAGUUUAAUUGUUUGUUAGUGAGGGCCAUUUUCACCAGCCCUAUAUAUGAGCCCAGAGUUAAAAGAUAGGAACUCUUCUCAACAUAACUAAGCUGCUAAAUAGUAUUAUCACCAUUUCACAGAUGAGAUAAACCCAGCCUGCUGGCAGGGCAAUAUUAAAAAUCCUGGUCUUUAAGCAUCCUUCCUAAUAAUGCUCAGCUCCAAAUUGAAUGCAGAUUUAAACGGGGAAAGCAGAGGUUUCAACUCUACCCUGAAACACUGACAAAUUGUGAGACAUUGGAUCAGUCACAUAACGACUUUUAGCUACCCUUUUUGUAAAUGGAGGUAAGAGUGUGACUUGUAUUUCACAAUCAGAAAUGGAGCUUCAUUCAUAGGUAAUCUAGUUUUGGUAGAGUUAGAUUUAACUACUGGGACAGGCACAAAGGUGUCUUGGACAUUGGGUAGAGCAUCUCAGGUCCAAUGCUAACCCUGCAAACACCAGGAAGUAAACACACAUGUCAGCAACACUGAGCCCAGGAAAAUCAGAACUGUCAGAAUUCAUUUCUCUGCCCUGCUAGACUAGUCAUUCCUGCAACUAUAAAAGUCUUUCACUCUUGAAUUGAGGAAACUCUUGUAUCCCUGAA